GCGCGAAAACUUUACAAUGCCGGCAACGGCGAUAAGGGAACCUCGAGUGCCAGGUUACAAAUCUGGCUGUCGUGAUGCCUAAAAAGCAUUGCAUAGCAAGGGCCGGGCAAGACCGGUGCCAGCCGCCGCGGUAACACCGGCGGCUCGAGUGGUAACCGUUAUUAUUGGGUCUAAAGGGUCUGUAGCCGGCCGGAUAAGUCUCUUGGGAAAUCCAGCAGCUCAACUGUUGGGCUUUCAGGAGAUACUGUUCGGCUCGAGGCCGGGAGAGGUGAGAGGUACUUCAGGGGUAGGGGUGAAAUCUUGUAAUCCUUGAAGGACCACCAGUGGCGAAGGCGUCUCACCAGAACGGACCUGACGGCAAGGGACGAAAGCUAGGGGCACGAACCGG
rnacentral:rRNA from 1 species